rnacentral:RNase_MRP_RNA from 1 species
AGAAUUGCUGCUAAGUGGACACACUGAUCCUUGAGAGGAUCUCCGCUGCUUAGGGGAAAGUCCCCGAGCCCAACUAAAAGCCUAGAAAGUAGGGCCCUUGAAUGGGUGGGUCUCUCUCCACUCUUGCCAGAAUAAGUCUCUUCAGACUUUAGCUUACGGCGUGGGAAGACUUUUUGCUAUAGAGGGAGUUAUGCAAUUAGAAAGAAGCUUGAGCUGCUUAGCGGCGGUUCGCUUCUUCCUAACAGAAUGGGGCUUACUCU